rnacentral:sRNA from 1 species
ACUUCCUCAUUUUCUGCAUGGUUAGUGGCAAUCAUAGCAUGACUAGUUUCCUCAGAAUCACUAGCUGAAGAGUACUCACCAUUGUCACGUAUAAGCAAGGUACGCUUGUUUGGGCAGUCCCGAAUCAUGUGCCCAAACCCUCUGCAACGAUGGCACUGAAUAUCCCGUGUACGUCCUGUGAAGAAGCGGCGCCUUUGGCAGGGGGCGCCACCGGCUUGGUCGUCCCUGUGCGCGAUGUAGUGUUAGGCGUAGAAGGUGCAGGGCUGGAAUAACAUCGCAAUCAGCAUAAUCAGAAUAAGAACCCAGCGAAAAGGGGACACGUACCGAACGUGUUACCUUUAUUUUACCACCACA